rnacentral:tRNA from 1 species
GGGGAUGUAGCUCAGUGGUAGAGCACUUGCCUGGAAUGCAUGAGGCCCUGGAUUACUUGCAGUUAACUAUUUCUU